UGGCUCAGAACGAACGCUGGCGGCAGGCUUAACACAUGCAAGUCGAGCGCCUCGCAAGAGGAGCGGCAGACGGGUGAGUAACGCGUGGGAAUCUACCCAUCUCUACGGAACAACUCCGGGAAACUGGAGCUAAUACCGUAUACGUCCUUCGGGAGAAAGAUUUAUCGGAGAUGGAUGAGCCCGCGUUGGAUUAGCUAGUUGGUGGGGUAAUGGCCUACCAAGGCGACGAUCCAUAGCUGGUCUGAGAGGAUGAUCAGCCACACUGGGACUGAGACACGGCCCAGACUCCUACGGGAGGCAGCAGUGGGGAAUAUUGGACAAUGGGCGCAAGCCUGAUCCAGCCAUGCCGCGUGAGUG
rnacentral:rRNA from 1 species